GUGCUCUUUUCAGCAGCACAUAUACUAAAAUUGGAAUGACACAGAGAUUAGUACGGCCCCUGUGCAAGGAUGACACACAAAUUCGUGAGGUGUUCCAUAUUUUU